GAUGAAGAACGCAGCGAAAUGCGAUACUUGGUGUGAAUUGCAGAAUCCCGUGAACCAUCGAGUCUUUGAACGCAAGUUGCGCCCGAAGCCAUCAGGUUGAGGGCACGUCUGUCUGGGCGUCACAUAUCGUUGCCCAAUGCCUAUUGCAGUGCAAUAGGAAUUUCUAGGGCGAAUGAUGGCUUCCCGUGAGCGUUGUUGCCUCGCGGUUGGUUGAAAAUCGAGUCCUUGGUAGGGUGUGCCAUGGUAGAUGGUGGUCGAGUUAGAACGAUACCGAUCAUGUGCAUGCUCCCCAAAAUAUGGCCUCUAUGACCCACACGCGUCUUUUGACGCUCAUGACGAGACCUCAGGUCAGGCGGGGCUACCCGCUGAAUUUAAGCAUAUCAAUAAGCGGAGGA
rnacentral:misc_RNA from 1 species